GACGAACGCUGGCGGCGUGCUUAACACAUGCAAGUGGAGCGACGAACCGGGGCUUGCCCCGGGGCAGAGCCGCGAACGGGUGAGUAACACGUGGGUAACCUGCCUCAAUGAUUGGGACAACCCGGGGAAACUCGGGCUAAUACCAAAUGUGUUCACUCCUUCUAAGGGGAGUGAGGAAAGGAAGCUUCGGCCUCCGCAUUGAGAUGGGCCCGCGGCCCAUUAGCUUGUUGGUGAGGUAACGGCUCACCAAGGCUUCGAUGGUAGCUGGUCUGAGAGGACGAUCAGCCACACUGGGACUGAGACACGGCCCAGACUCCUACGGAGGCAGCAGUGGGAAUCUUGCACAAUGCGCGAAAGCGUGAUGCAGCAACGCCGCGUGGGGGAA
rnacentral:rRNA from 1 species